GAAGAAUUCAGUAAAAAUUGUUGUGGAAGGUUACAGUAUACUGAAGAGUCACCUACAUCUGAGAAUUUGGAAAAGAACAGCUAAGUGACACCAGCGAUGUAUUAGGAGCUUCUGCCCAUGAUGUGAGCUGCAUGAUGCUGAAGAGAAUGGACUGGGGGAGAAGACGGAACAGGAGGGGUCCUCUCCAUCACAUUAUGGAGUAAAGCGGUGAAUUCACUUCAUAUCAACACUGUGAUGUGAACUACCAGUCAAAGUCUCACUAAUAAAACACUAUAAUU